GCAAAAGGAUGAGAAGCAAAUAGGAGGAAAGACUUCAAGGCCUGGUGUCUUAGGUUUGUUCCCCCCACGAGGAGAUAAGGAUUCAGAUGCAAGGGGUUCAUUUUCGAGGGGGAUCUCGGAAGCACCAGGAAGGGUCGAGGAAGUGAGAAUGGGCAGGAAAGGGAAAAAAAAAAAUUCCGGUGUGCCCAGAGCAGGCUAUGUCAGUGGGCACUGGUGCUCCAUCUUACUGGACUUCUGCCAGGGCAUGUAGAUGCGCCUCAUGCCUGAUGGAUGCAAAGCUGAAGCAUCUGGCACUAAUGAUCAUUCACGAUUGGUUGCAGGCUACUUCUGUAGGGGGUCACUCCCUGGUCCUUCUAGCCUGCCCUGUGCACAGGUUGAGGACAGUCCUGUGGCUGGAGAAAGCUGGAUCUGAAGGUUGUAGAAACUUGCGGAAAGAAGCCAUCAAAGUGACUUGGAAAGCAGCUCGGAGUCCCUGAGUAAGAAGUGGCAGCCAAGGGCGGAGCAAGAUGGCCGAAUAGAAGCAGCUCCAGUCUCCAACUCCCAGCGCGAGCGACACAGAAGACCGGUGAUUUCUGCAUUUUCAACUGAGGUACUGGGUUCAUCUCACUGGGGAGUGCCAGACGAUCGGUGCUGGUCAGCUGCUGCAGCCCGACCAGCGAGAGCUGAAGCAGGGCGAGGCAUUGCCUCACCUGGGAAGCGCAAGGGGGAAGGGAGUCCCUUUUCCUAGCCAGGGGAACUGAGACACACAACACCUGGAAAAUCGGGUAACUCCCACCCCAAUACUGCGCUUUAAGCAAACAGGCACACCAGGAGAUCAUAUCCCACACCUGGCCGGGAGGGUCCCACACCCAUGGAGCCUCCCUCAUUGCUAGCACAGCAGUCUGUGAUCUACCGGCAAGGCAGCAGCGAGGCUGGGGGAGGG
rnacentral:lncRNA from 1 species